rnacentral:rRNA from 1 species
CCUACGGGGUGCAGCAGUGAGGAAUAUUGGUCAAUGGGCGUAAGCCUGAACCAGCCAAGUCGCGUGAGGGAUGAAGGUUCUAUGGAUCGUAAACCUCUUUUAUAAGGGAAUAAAGUGUGGGGCGUGUCCUAUUUUGUAUGUACCUUAUGAAUAAGGAUCGGCUAACUCCGUGCCAGCAGACGCGGUAAUACGGAGGCUCCGAGCGUUAUCCGGAUGUAUUGGGUUUAAGGGGUGCGUAGGCGGCCUUUUAAGUCAGCGGUGAAAGUCUGUGGCUCAACCAUAGAAUUGUAGUUGAAACAGGGGGGCUUGAGUAUGUUUGAGGCAGGCGGAAUGCGUGGUGUAGCGGUGAAAUGCUUAGAUAUCACGCAGAACCCCGAUGGCGAAGGCAGCUUGCUAAGCCAUGACUGACGCUGAUGCACGAAAGCGUGGGGAGCAAAAAGGAUUAGAUACCCUUGUAGUC